UAGGGAAUCUUCGGCAAUGGACGGAAGUCUGACCGAGCAACGCCGCGUGAGUGAAGAAGGUUUUCGGAUCGUAAAGCUCUGUUGUAAGAGAAGAACGAGUGUGAGAGUGGAAAGUUCACACUGUGACGGUAUCUUACCAGAAAGGGACGGCUAACUACGUGCCAGCAGCCGCGGUAAUACGUAGGUCCCGAGCGUUGUCCGGAUUUAUUGGGCGUAAAGCGAGCGCAGGCGGUUAGAUAAGUCUGAAGUUAAAGGCUGUGGCUUAACCAUAGUACGCUUUGGAAACUGUUUAACUUGAGUGCAAGAGGGGAGAGUGGAAUUCCAUGUGUAGCGGUGAAAUGCGUAGAUAUAUGGAGGAACACCGGUGGCGAAAGCGGCUCUCUGGCUUGUAACUGACGCUGAGGCUCGAAAGCGUGGGGAGCAAACAGGAUUAGAUACCCUGGUAGUCCACGCCGUACGAUGAGUGCUAGGUGUUAGACCCUUUCCGGGGUUUAGUGCCGCAGCUAACGCAUUAAGCACUCCGCCUGGGGAGUACGACCGCAAGGUUG
rnacentral:rRNA from 1 species